AACGAACGCUGGCGGCGUGCCUAACACAUGCAAGUCGUGCGAGAAAGUUCCUUCGGGAGCGAGUAAAGCGGCGCACGGGUGAGUAACACGUAGGUAACCUGCCCCCCAGUCUGGAACAACUAGAGGAAACUCUAGCUAAUGCCGGAUGAGACCACGAUCCCUUCGGGGGUUGCGGCCAAAGAUGGCCUCUACUUGUAAGCUAUCGCUGAGGGAUGGGCCUGCGGGCCAUUAGCUUGUUGGUGAGGUAACGGCUCACCAAGGCUGUGAUGGCUAGCUGGUCUGAGAGGAUGACCAGCCACACUGGGACUGAGACACGGCCCAGACUCCUACGGGAGGCAGCAGUGGGGAAUAUUGCGCAAUGGGCGAAAGCCUGACGCAGCGACGCCGCGUGGGUGAUGAAGGCCUCGGGUCGUAAAGACCUCGUCGCAGGGGAAGGAAGUAAAGACGAUCGGUAUAAUAACGCCGGUGCCCGUCGACGGUACCCUCGCAGAAAGACACCGGCUAACUCCGU
rnacentral:rRNA from 1 species